AUUGAACGCUGGCGGCAGGCCUAACACAUGCAAGUCGAGCGGAUGAAGGGAGCUUGCUCCUGGAUUCAGCGGCGGACGGGUGAGUAAUGCCUAGGAAUCUGCCUGGUAGUGGGGGAUAACGUCCGGAAACGGGCGCUAAUACCGCAUACGUCCUGAGGGUGAAAGUGGGGGAUCUUCGGACCUCACGCUAUCAGAUGAGCCUAGGUCGGAUUAGCUAGUUGGUGGGGUAAAGGCCUACCAAGGCGACGAUCCGUAACUGGUCUGAGAGGAUGAUCAGUCACACUGGAACUGAGACACGGUCCAGACUCCUACGGGAGGCAGCAGUGGGGAAUAUUGGACAAUGGGCGAAAGCCUGAUCCAGCCAUGCCGCGUGUGUGAAGAAGGUCUUCGGAUUGUAAAGCACGUUAAGUUGGGAGGAAGGGCAGUAAGUUAAGACCUUGCUGUUUUGACGUUAACAACAGAAUAAGCACCGGCUAACUUCGUG
rnacentral:rRNA from 1 species